CGGCUGUAGCAAUAGUGAACGGAGAAGUUAUCUGGCCGGUUGUUGUGCUUUGAGAUCUUCGGAUCUCAAUCGUCGACGUAUCUGCUUACCGAACUUCUCAUAUUC